rnacentral:rRNA from 1 species
GAUGAACGCUGGCGGCGUGCUUAACACAUGCAAGUCGAACGAGAAGUGGAGACGGACACCUUCGGGCGGAAGACUUUACUUCGAGUGGCGGACGGGUGAGCAACGCGUGGGUAACCUGCCUCAUACAGGGGGAUAACAGUUGGAAACGACUGUUAAUACCGCAUAAGACCACAGCACCGCAUGGUGCGGGGGUAAAAACUCCGGUGGUAUGAGAUGGACCCGCGUUCGAUUAGCCAGUUGGCGGGGUAACGGCCCACCAAAGCGACGAUCGAUAGCCGAUCUGAGAGGAUGACCGGCCACAUUGGGACUGAGACACGGCCCAAACUCCUACGGGAGGCAGCAGUGGGGAAUAUUGCACAAUGGGGGAAACCCUGAUGCAGCGACGCCGCGUGAGUGAAGAAGUAUUUCGGUAUGUAAAGCUCUAUCAGCAGGGAAGAAAAUGACAGUACCUGAGGAAGAAGCCCCGGCUAACUACGUG